rnacentral:rRNA from 1 species
ACGGAAGGCAGCAGUGGGGAAUAUUGGGCAAUGGGCGAAAGCCUGACCCAGCAACGCCGCGUGAAGGAUGACGGUCUUCGGAUUGUAAACUUCUUUAAUUGGGGAAGAACAAAAUGACCUACCAAAGAAUAAGUCACGGCUAACUACGUGCCAGCAGCCGCGGUAAUACGUAGGUGACAAGCGUUAUCCGGAUUUACUGGGCGUAAAGGGCGUGUAGGCGGUCUUGCAAGUCAGAAGUGAAAUUCCUGAGCUCAACUCGGGCGCUGCUUCUGAAACUGCAGGACUUGAGUGCUGGAGGGGAUAGCGGAAUUCCUAGUGGAGCGGUAAAAUGCGCAGAUAUUAGGAAGAACACCGGUGGCGAAGGCGGCUAUCUGGACAGUAACUGACGCUGAGGCGCGAAAGCGUGGUGAGCAAACAGGAUUAGAUACCCUGGUA